ensembl:lncRNA
GUUCAGACCCCACAGAGCAGUAACAGACUGGUACUCAGGCUAGGUUCAGACCCCCACAGAGCAGUAACAGACUGGUACUCAGGCUAGGUUCAGACCCUCACAGAGCAGUAACAGACUGGUACUCAGGCUAGGUUCAGACCCCAACAGAGCAGUAACAGACUGGUACUCAGGCUAGGUUCAGACCCCAACAGAGCAGUAACAGACUGGUACUCAGGCUAGGUUCAGACCCCAAUAGAGCUGUAACAGACUGGUACUCAGGCUAGGUUCAGACCCCCACAGAGAAGGGAAACACAGGUGAAAAUGUGUAACAACAACAUGUCUCUGUUCUGCAGUAAAGAGCUUGUGUUGAGUUCAGUGGCCAGCUACAAGAUAGCACAGAACAUACAGAUUAGACUGCUAUAAAACCUUCAGUGUGUAAUCGUAAAAUGGUCUUCAAAACAACAAGACAUGGGGGAGGGGGGGCAUUUUAAAGAAAUAAAACAUUUUAAUACAUCGCCAUAAAUUGAGCUUGUAUUUCCUGGUAUUCAAAGAUAAAGAUGUUUAAAACUACUGCUAACAAAGGAAGGUUUUGC